rnacentral:lncRNA from 1 species
CAGGGGCACAAGGGUUCACUGAAGACUCAGGAGAGGGGUUUAGAGCACAGCCUCCCUCUCCAGGGUCAGGUUCACGGGAGCUGUUGGGGGCUCCUUCCCUCGCAGCAGUGACCACUCCAAGGACCACGGCCUGGACAUGAGCGGCAGCGGUGAGCUGGGAGCUGCUGGCCUGGAGUCUAGAUGAAUAUAGGCAGCAGCCAAAGGCCACAGUCACGACAAACCUACACACUCUCACCACUGUCAUCUCAUAUUGUCCUAAAAUUUCCAGCCAGUGCAAAAAAACAUGAAAAAGAAAAAAUACAGCCAUUGGAAAAGAGGAAAAGUAAUUGUUAUUAGCUGAUGAUGUGAAUGUCUUCCUGAAAACCUUAAGAGAACCAACUGGAAAACAACCAGAAAUGAGAGCAUGGAGUUAGGCAACCGCCGAUCUGCUUUCUGUCACUUGGGCGAGUUUUUCCCGUCCUGGGAUUUCAUAUCUCUGGAAUCCUGCAGUACGUAGCCCUCUGUCUGGCUUCCUCGCUCCGUGUAAUGUUCUUGAGAUUCAUCCAUGCAGCUGUGUAUACCUGCAGUGAUUGUUUCUCUUGUUGAAUUGCUGAGAAGGGUUCCAUCGUAUGCCUUUUCCAGUUUAUUUGUUCAUCUGUUGUUAGACAUUUGAGUUAUUUCCAGCUUGGGACUCUUAUGAACAAAACUGCUAUAAACAUGCAUAUUCAAGUCUUUGUGGAUAUGUGCUUUCUUUUGUCCUGGAUAAAUGUCUCCACGUGGGCUUCCUGGGUCUCACGGACCUGCUGCAGGGGAAGGGGCCAGGAGGCCAGGAGACUGGACAGCAGGAGGCUCGAGGACCACGCAGACACUGGCCUUGGGAGCACCCACCUCUCUGACCCGCUCCAGAGGGGGCUAGAGACCUGGAGGCAAAGCCCAGGGUCAGAAACCAC